GUUUAUUCAAAAUACAUUUCAUUGGAUAAUCAACCUCUUCGAUUCUGUUUUUCUCUCGUUUCAGUUUCCAGUCCUUCAGCACUAUCUGGUGUGGCGCUUCUUCGUGGAUGGUGGGCAUUGACUUAUUUUCAGUCCAUCAACGCUAUCCGGUUGACAGUUCUUCUGCCGUUGGACAUUGCUGUAUUCAUCGUAUCUGGACUUCGUUGCUUCCCAUUAUUUUUUCUGCCUUUGUUCUGUUUUGUCGCAGCUUGAAAGAGGAAAUGAUGCAAUGGGAAGGGGGUUUUAUAGUACCUAACUUUUUUCUGAUUGGUUGUUUUUCUGUGCUGCUGUGUAGUUCUAGUAAAGAGAGACUAAAGCAAAUACUCGCCUCCUGUCAUUAAUAAAAUUAAGAUUAUAGGUACACUAAAGCUAGCAUAAUCUACAAUUUACCCUGUUCAUGUUCAAAUUGAAUUUAUGUUUCUUUCAACUGUUUUUGUAACGAAUAUAAUAAUAUCUUGUCUUUCCUAAUCUCAUCUGCCCACUUUCUCCAUGGAAACUCAUUUGUUUGUGAAACAUUUAAUUGAAUAGGCAUGAUAUCUAUCACUUGUAUAGGACUCUUCGAUAUAUUAACUUGAGUUCCUUAUAUAUGUAUUAUUAGUGGAC